GACGAACGCUGGCGGCGUGCCUAAUACAUGCAAGUAGAACGCACAGUUUAUACCGUAGCUUGCUACACCAUACACUGUGAGUUGCGAACGGGUGAGUAACGCGUAGGUUACCUGCCUGGUAGCGGGGGAUAACUAUUGGAAACGAUAGCUAAUACCGCAUAAUAUUAAUUAUUGCAUGAUAAUUGAUUGAAAUAUGCAAUUGCAUCACUACCAGAUGGACCUGCGUUGUAUUAGCUAGUAGGUGAGGUAACGGCUCACCUAGGCGAAGAUACAUAGCCGACCUGAGAGGGUGAACAGCCCCACUGGGAACGAGAAACGGCCCAGACUCCUAGGGGAGGCAGCAGUAGGGAAUCUUCGGCAAUGGACGAAAGUCUGACCGAGCAACGCCGCGUGAGUGAAGAAGGUUUUCGGAUCGUAAAGCUCUGUUGUAAGAGAAGAACGGGUGUGAGAGUGGAAAGUUCACACUGUGACGGUAUCUUACCAGAAAGCGACGGCUAACUACGUG
rnacentral:rRNA from 1 species